GAGAUUGGGUUGAGAAGUACUGGAGCCUUCCUUUAAAACACUGAACCGGUUGAUUUAGAUCAGGGAAAAUGCCGGUGUGGUUCCUGAAGGUAGCUGUAGUUGUACCAGUCCUUGUGGCUGUCGAUGUUGAAAGAGAAGAACGGCCUGUGUACCUACUUUGGCCAUCAGUCAUGUGAGGAGGACCUCUAACCAAUUGGAAUUCUGGAUGGUGUAAAGGGGGAGGAGCCUAAUCCUUAAAAAGUUGUAUUCAAGUUGCCUGAAAGAGAGGAGACUGCCAUCAUAGUUCCUGAGGAGAUGAGUCUGAUGAUUGCAAGUGCAUUCAAAGAGAACUCUAACUUGAAACUUGGUGAAUGACAUGUCAAGAAUCUACUAUUGUUAGCAUAUUUUCAUCAAUACAGUGUCGAUUUUGCAUUUGAGACCUAAA